UCCGGUGAGUACAACGGAGAGGCCACACCUGUUCCCAUCCCGAACACAGAAGUUAAGCUCUCUUGUGCCGAGCAUACCUGGCUGGAGACGGCCCGGGAAAGUAGGUCCUCGCCGGAU
rnacentral:rRNA from 1 species